rnacentral:rRNA from 1 species
GACGAACGCUGGCGGCGUGCUUAACACAUGCAAGUCGAACGGAAAGGCCCUGCUUUUGUGCGGUUCUCGAGUGGCGAACGGGUGAGUAACACGUGAGUAACCUGCCCUUGACUUUGGGAUAACUUCAGGAAACUGGGGCUAAUACCGGAUAGGAGCUCCUGCUGCAUGGUGGGGGUUGGAACGUUUCGGCGGUUGGGGAUGGAUGGGCGGGUUAUGAGCUUGUUGGUGGGGUAGGGGUUUACCCAGGCUGUGACCGGUAGGCGGCCUGUGAGGGGGACCGGGCACAUUGGGACUGAGAUACGGCGCAGACUCCUACGGGAGGCAGCAGGGGGGAAUAUUGCACAAUGGGCGGAAGCCUGAUGCAGCAACGCCGCGUGCGGGAUGACGGCCUUCGGGUUGUAAACCGCUUUCGCCUGUGACGAAGCGUGAGUGACGGUAAUGGGUAAAGAAGCACCGGCUAACUACGUG